rnacentral:rRNA from 1 species
AAGGCUCAGGGGCGCAGCUGAGCAGCCAUGCAGCGUGUAUGAUGACUGCCCUCUGGUUUGUAAACUUCUUUUAUAAAGGAAUAAAGUGGUCCGUUUGUGCCUUUGUGCAUUUACUUUAUGAAUAAAGAACGGCUAACUCCACUCCCAUGAGCCAGCCUAAUCUAAUA